GAUUAAAUGGCUGAAGGUUAGGCGAUAAAUUGUAAAUUUAUUUAUGAGAAUUAUUCUCUUUAAUCA
rnacentral:tRNA from 1 species